AACGAACGCUGGCGGCAUGCCUAACACAUGCAAGUCGAACGAGACCUUCGGGUCUAGUGGCGCACGGGUGCGUAACGCGUGGGAACCUGCCUUUAGGUUCGGAAUAACUCAGAGAAAUUUGAGCUAAUACCGGAUAAUGUCUUCGGACCAAAGAUUUAUCGCCUUUAGAUGGGCCCGCGUUGGAUUAGCUAGUUGGUGGGGUAAAGGCCUACCAAGGCGACGAUCCAUAGCUGGUCUGAGAGGAUGAUCAGCCACACUGGGACUGAGACACGGCCCAGACUCCUACGGGAGGCAGCAGUGGGGAAUAUUGGACAAUGGGCGAAAGCCUGAUCCAGCAAUGCCGCGUGAGUGAUGAAGGCCUUAGGGUUGUAAAGCUCUUUUACCCGAGAUGAUAAUGACAGUAUCGGGAGAAUAAGCUCCGGCUAACUCCGUGCCAGCAACCGCGGUAAU
rnacentral:rRNA from 1 species